rfam:Schistosoma margrebowiei strain Zambia genome assembly, scaffold: SMRZ_contig0000052
AUCCAGCUGACGAGCCUUAAAUAGGACGAAAUGCCAGUCCUGGAU